rnacentral:rRNA from 1 species
CCAGACUCCUACGGGAGGCAGCAGUGGGGAAUAUUGGGCAAUGGGCGCAAGCCUGACCCAGCAACGCCGCGUGAAGGAAGAAGGCUUUCGGGUUGUAAACUUCUUUUCUCAGGGACGAAGCAAGUGACGGUACCUGAGGAAUAAGCCACGGCUAACUACGUGCCAGCAGCCGCGGUAAUACGUAGGUGGCAAGCGUUAUCCGGAUUUACUGGGUGUAAAGGGCGUGUAGGCGGGGAAGCAAGUCAGAUGUGAAAUUCCGGGGCUCAACCCUGGAACUGCAUUUGAAACUGUUUUUCUUGAGUGAUGGAGAGGCAGGCGGAAUUCCGUGUGUAGCGGUGAAAUGCGUAGAUAUACGGAGGAACACCAGUGGCGAAGGCGGCCUGCUGGACAUUAACUGACGCUGAGGCGCGAAAGCGUGGGGAGCAAACAGGAUUAGAUACCCGAGUAA